GCUGGCGGCGUGCCUAACACAUGCAAGUCAACUUGACUGAAGGAGCAAUCUGACAGUAGAGUGGCGCAAGGGUGCGUAACGCGUAAGUAACUUGCCCCAAGGUAAGGAAUAACGUCGAGAAAUCGGCGCUAAUACCUCAUAAUGCAGCGGAUCCGCAUGGAUAUGUUGUUAAAGGUUUACCGCCUUGGGAUAGGCUUGCGUCUGAUUAGUUAGUUGGUGUGGUAACGGCACACCAAGGCUACGAUCAGUAACUGGUCUGAGAGGAUGAUCAGUCACACUGGAACUGAGACACGGUCCAGACUCCUACGGGAGGCAGCAGUGAGGAAUAUUGGGCAAUGCUCGAAAGAGUGACCCAGCAACGCCGCGUGGAGGAUGAAGGUAUUCUAUAUCGUAAACUCCUGUGAGAGCAGACGAAAGGCAGAUUAUUAAUCUGGAUGACUGUAUGCUCAGAGGAAGCCCCGGCUAACUAUGUG
rnacentral:rRNA from 1 species